GCUGUGGAUUGACGAUAUACAUAUUGCAUAUCAUGACGGGAUAUGUAUUUUAGAAUAUUUAAUAGCUGUUGAUAAGGAAUUAUUUACAAAAGUACGAAUGCCUAGAGUUAGAGACAGGAUAAUUGGAUCAAAAAACCAACACAAAUUAAGUAUCAAAACAUAAUAGAUAGAGACAAAAGAGAUGGAAAUGCAUUGUAUAUAUUAGACGAUUUCAUUUAUACAUUGAGAAAAGAAAGCUUGUGACAAAAAGAGAACCUUGCCAAUGCUCGUGUGACAAGAGUGAAAGGACAAGCAUUUGAAAAAAAAAACUGUUUCAAUAAACCGGCUGUAUAGAUUCAAGCCAAGACAACUGGAGGAGAUUAUAGAAUUAGUUAUGAAUGACAUUGAGCCUAUUGGUUGCAUUCCUAUUGACGAAAACCGUAGACGUGUCAGACAAAUGUUAAAAGAUGCUUGGACACGAGAUGAAACUGAUCGGAAAAGGAUUAUCCGACGUUUAUUGCUGAGGUGGCAUCCAGAUAAAAACAGAGAACAUCGAGAAUAUGCCGGCCGUCUGUUUAACUACAUCAACGAAAUAGUGGUCAGAUUGGAGAAUAACGAGCAAAUUGAUGAUGACAAUUAAAUGACACUGGUAAAAUGCCUCCUGGUAUGUCGCGUUCAACAUUUUGGUUUGGCAAAUGAUGCUGUGUAAAUAAGGCACAUUUUAACGAUAACAAAGACGAUUAUAACACUAGUAGAUGUACACGUUAAUGUAGGACUGAUCUCUGGUCUUGCCAUAUUUGAAGUUAAGGCAAACCAGACUGCUUUCAAAGCCGUUUCAGGGACCUUCAAACAAAUAAGCACAGAUUUGUGUACGUACGAACAGAUAAAAGUGAUUAAGAUUUCUUCUUAAUGACUUGAGAAACGGAAAUAGCAAAAAAAAGUUUAUUUUCACAUUUAAAUAAGUUUUAGCAUUAAUUCAUUGCCUUAAUCUCUAAUAAAUUAAAUUUGUUAUUUAAAGGAAAAUUUAUUUCACCGAUUUAUUUACCAGAAGUUUGUCUUGAAAUAACAAACCUGAUGACACUUAUAUCACAUUUAGUUAAAUUUUAAGUCAUCGACUACUGUUGUUAUAUUACUACAGGCAUUUUGUAGUUUUGAACAGCUUUUCAUCUUCUCCAACUUGCUGUUCAAUUAUUUUCUCUGCUCUGGUAUGGACACAAAAAUGAAAAUGAUCUUCGUAUUCUAGAUGAAGUAAAAGCAAUCACUUUUGCUGUAAUAUAUGUUGUGUUUUCCUUUUUUUUAAUUGCUAAUCUGAACGUGUUCUUGAUUUUUUACCGUUCAAAAUUGUUGAAUGAUAAUGGCAUUUCACAUAUAAAUGUAUGUAUAUAAAACAAUUUUGUAUGGAAACAGAAAAUGAACUUUUUUUAGGAUGAUGAAGAAAGAACAAUUACUUUUACUGUGAUAUUUAUAAGUGUUUUCUGUGAAGCAAUGUGUUUCUGAUAUUUUUUAUCUUGCUUAUACAAUAAAUUAAUUAUUAUA